rnacentral:rRNA from 1 species
UACGUAGGGGGCAAGCGUUGUCCGGAUUCAUUGGGCGUAAAGAGCUCGUAGGCGGUUCAGUAAGUCGGGUGUGAAAGCUCCGAGCUCAACUCGGAGAGGCCACCCGAUACUGCUGUGACUUGAGCCCAGUAGAGGAGCGUGGAAUUCCUGGUGUAGCGGUGAAAUGCGCAGAUAUCAGGAGGAACACCAGCAGCGAAGGCGGCGCUCUGGGCUGGAACUGACGCUGAGGAGCGAAAGCGUGGGUAGCAAACAGG